UUCAAUUUAGUCAUUUUUGACAUUUUUACAAAAUUACCCAUAAAAUUUUACUUUUAUUCAAUUUAGUUCUUGAGCCAAAAACAUACAAAUUAGCCAUGCUAGCUGAAUAUUCAUACAUAUUUUUCCUCCUCCUCUCCAUUCCACAUCCUUAGUAUAAACAACACACUUGUAGGUAACAUUAUCCAUAAUUUUCACUAUCUACUUAUGUGAAUAUUCAAGCUAUCCAUCUGUGUCAUAGUCACUAAAUUAUUUUU
rnacentral:lncRNA from 1 species